rnacentral:rRNA from 1 species
AUGCGAGCCCCGUCAGCCAUGGCUUUCAAGCCCACUCAUGCACGAACCGCCGACGGCGAAAGGAAUGCCAAGAAGGGGAAGCACAGCAGCUACACGACCUCACAAACGAGCUUCAGCCGGCCAGCGAGCCGCCGCGUGCAGGCCCCCGCGCCCGUCGUCGACCGGCGAGAAGACGCCACGAUCGCGUUCAUCAAGGCGCACGCGGACCGCAAGGACAAAUUGCUCGUUUCCUCGGAGCGGCCGCACCUCCGCGUCCGUGCCGACGCCAUGCGCUCCCUGACCGUGCCCCUGUCCCAGGACGGGCCGGAGCGGAAGAUUUCCGGCGUUGUCCUGGACGCGUACCUCGAACUGCUCCGCCGCCGCCAGGGCGCCGAGCACGGCAAGAACGCCCGCCGCGUCCUCCUGCUGGGAGUCGAGGAGCAGGACUGGCUCGAGUACCUGGGCUCCCUGCCAAGAACGGACGAACACCUGACGGACCAGGACGCCGCCGACGUGGCGGCGACGGCCGCUAGGUACCUCCAGAACGACAUGGUGUUCUUCCUGGUGAACCACAGGGAGCACUUCUUCGUCGCGGUGCUCAACUUCGCCAAAGCCGAGUACCAGGUGCUGGACUCCGGGAACUACGCGCGGUACAACGGCGUACGGUUCUACGAGGCGGCGUUGUCCAAGAUACGGGACGGCGUGCGGCGGUGCAUGGAGGAGGCCGGUCGGGCACACGUCGCCGGAUGGAGAGUGCGUCUGGAGCCGGGCCUCCCGGAGCAGAACGACGAGUCGUCGUGCGGCUUGUUCGCGCUGAAGUGGAUGGAGCUGUGGGACGGGGAGGAGCUGGCGCGGAGUUUCUCCAUGGACGACGUGCACGCGUUCCGGACGAAGCUGGCCGAGGAGCUCGUCUUCUCCGAGCUGAAUGAGAUGCAGGACGUGAAACAGGAGAUCGAAUCGAAGAUGACGUAUCUGCGUUUCAAGAAACAUUCUUCGUCGUAA